GACGAACGCUGGCGGCGUGCUUAACACAUGCAAGUCGAACGGAAAGGCCCUGCUUGUGUGGGGUGCUCGUGUGGCGAACGGGUGAGUAACACGUGAGUAACCUGCCCUUGACUUUGGGACAUCUUCAGGGAAAUGGGGCUAAUACCGGAUAGGAGAUCCUGCAGCAUGGGGGGGGUUGGAAAGUUUCGGCGGGUUGGGAUGGACUCGCGGCUCAUCAGCUUGUGGGGGGGGUAGUGGCUUACCAAGGCAUUGACGGGUAGGCGGCCCGAGAGGGUGACCGGCCACCUUGGGACUGCGGUACGGCGCAGACGCCAACGGUAGGCAGCAGUGGGGAAUAUUGUACAGCGGGCGGGAGCCUGGUGCGGCAACGCCGCGUGCGGGAUGACGGCCUGCGGGUUGUAAACCGCUUUUGCCUGUGACGAAGCGUUAGUGACGGUAAUGGGUAAAGAAGCACCGGCUAACUACGUG
rnacentral:rRNA from 1 species